AGCACUUUCAGUCGUGAGGAAGGUAGUGUAGUUAAUAGCUGCAUUAUUUGACGUUAGCGACAGAAGAAGCACCGGCUAACUCCGUGCCAGCAGCCGCGGUAAUACGGAGGGUGCGAGCGUUAAUCGGAAUUACUGGGCGUAAAGCGCAUGCAGGUGGUUUGUUAAGUCAGAUGUGAAAGCCCGGGGCUCAACCUCGGAAUAGCAUUUGAAACUGGCAGACUAGAGUACUGUAGAGGGGGGUAGAAUUUCAGGUGUAGCGGUGAAAUGCGUAGAGAUCUGAAGGAAUACCGGUGGCGAAGGCGGCCCCCUGGACAGAUACUGACACUCAGAUGCGAAAGCGUGGGGAGCAAACAGGAUUAGAUACCCUGGUAGUCCACGCCGUAAACGAUGUCUACUUGGAGGUUGUGGCCUUGAGCCGUGGCUUUCGGAGCUAACGCGUUAAGUAGACCGCCUGGGGAGUACGGUCGCAAGAUUAAAACUCAAAUGAAUUGACGGGGGCCCGCACAAGCGGUGGAGCAUGUGGUUUAAUUCGAUGCAACGCGAAGAACCUUACCUACUCUUGACAUCCAGAGAACUUUCCAGAGAUGGAUUGGUGCCUUCGGGAACUCUGAGACAGGUGCUGCAUGGCUGUCGUCAGCUCGUGUUGUGAAAUGUUGGGUUAAGUCCCGCAACGAGCGCAACCCUUAUCCUUGUUUGCCAGCACUUCGGGUGGGAACUCCAGGGAGACUGCCGGUGAUAAACCGGAGGAAGGUGGGGACGACGUCAAGUCAUCAUGGCCCUUACGAGUAGGGCUACACACGUGCUACAAUGGCGCAUACAGAGGGCGGCCAACUUGCGAGAGUGAGCGAAUCCCAAAAAGUGCGUCGUAGUCCGGAUCGGAGUCUGCAACUCGACUCCGUGAAGUCGGAAUCGCUAGUAAUCGUGGAUCAGAAUGCCACGGUGAAUACGUUCCCGGGCCUUGUACACACCGCCCGUCACACCAUGGGAGUGGGCUGCAAAAGAAGUAGGUAGUUUAACCU
rnacentral:rRNA from 1 species